rnacentral:rRNA from 1 species
GAUCAGUGGCUCAGGACGACGCUGGCGGCGUGCCUAACACAUGCAAGUCGAGCGAGGAGAUCCUUCGGGAUGAUCCUAGCGGCGGACGGGUGAGUAACACGUGGGCAACCUGCCUCAUAGAGAGGAAUAGCCUUCCGAAAGGGAGAUUAAUACCUCAUAACAUUGCAGUUUCGCAUGGAACAGCAAUUAAAGGAGCAAUCCGCUAUGAGAUGGGCCCGCGGCGCAUUAGCUAGUUGGUGAGGUAACGGCUCACCAAGGCGACGAUGCGUAGCCGACCUGAGAGGGUGAUCGGCCACAUUGGGACUGAGACACGGCCCAGACUCCUACGGGAGGCAGCAGUGGGGAAUAUUGCACAAUGGGGGAAACCCUGAUGCCAGCAACGCCGCGUGAGUGAUGACGGCCUUCGGGUUGUAAAGCUCUGUCUUCAGGGACGAUAAUGACGGUACCUGAGGAGGAAGCCACGGCUAACUACGUGCCAGCCGCCGC